GCAUCUUUUUAGGAGCAGACAUUUUCAUAUUUUUUUGCCAGUGUUCUGAGUGCUUUGUUUUACUUUUAAUGUAGUAAGUCAAAGUAAAUUUUACAGAUUCACAGGCUCAGCUAUCUGAAAUAUGAUCAUCUGUCAGAAGCCCUCAGUGGGACAAUUACAGCCCCCACAUCCUCCCACAGCAAACAUGAUUAUGGGAGAAGAAUGCUUGAGGUCUGCAACUGAGAUUAGUAAAUGUGAAGUACUCUUGCUUCAGUCUUCACAAAAUCACCUGCUACAAGUCUUGGUAAUGAGAUAGAAAUAUCAGGACUGGAAGUUGGUUACAAAUAGAACCUUUGUCAUCUUAAACUACUUAACAGCAAUGGAUGAAAUAUGUGAGAAUUUCACUAAUUCAUAAUUUAAUAAUCAGGCAUUUUAUAAUUUGCCUGAGAAGAAAUUGUAUCUUAUCUUCAUCCGUCAGUGAAGAUUUAAGAGCUGUGUGCCCUGAGCUUUCAUUUCAGCAACAAUUCUUGCCCAAAACACAACCCCAUGCAUAUUUAUGAAUGUUUUAUAGAAUAGAAGCAUAACUCGGUUCUUAGGAUUUCACAGCAAAUCUCAAAAGUUUUCACUAUUAACUAGUUUAUUCUUUGCAUAUGCACGCAGUACAUUUUGUCCUCUGCUAUAUUAUCCUUGUGAAGUAUUUGUAUGUAAUGGAAAAUAAAAUGCUUAAAUGUAGCCGAGUGCUUGAAUUCACAGGUCUUGAAUGCUACUGGGAAUCCAGCCUUGUGUUUUGACUCGCAGCCUUCUCUCUACCAGUAAUAGUUCUUCUUGACUGGUGAGCUGCUAAUCCCAAACUGAAAUCACCGAUCAUUUGCAAGCCUAGAAUACAGUUCGCUUUCAAGUUGCACCAGAAAUCUUGCAUUUGGUAAUCUUCAUUAACAUAGAUACACUAAUGCCAGAUCUUGGGCACUCUACAAGUGAUGAUGAGGUGCAGAUCCUCGCAAAGUGUCUGAUGGUUCAUCAAACAUUUGCAGAAGGCUUGUUUUUCCAGACAAAGGCAGGAUGGACGUGGGGAUUGGAGAUGUAAAAAAUGCAUAGUGGAGUGCACAGUGCUUUUGAAAUCUGCUGAUGGAAGAACUGUGCUGUGAGCCAUGACCUGGAAGCUGCAGAGCAGCAAAUAAAGGUAAUAGUAAUGUUACAGGUAUGUGUUGACCCAUCAUGGUUCAACUGUGAUACAGUUGCAACUUGGCUGAACAAAGGGAAGUAUUUUUUUCUACUUGGCUGCUCAGCACACAAGCACAGACUGAUUGGCAAAGCUGGAAAAAGGUUUGUCUUUAAGAAGAAAUAAAACAACAGCUUAUUUAGCAGAGAAGCAAGAGGUGAGUUUUACUUUACAAUCUUAAGGGACAAGGUUGAGGCAAUCCCCUAAUGUUGUUAGCAUGGCACAAUAUCUUGUGUUUGAAGACUUGCAGAAAGGUAUCUCAUGUGAUGACUAAUCUCACUUAUCUUUUUCUAUUUGUCCAUCACCAGAACUGUGGUGUCUGGGGACAGGUGGUGUCCUUAGGCCUAAGCCAUCCUAUGUUUGUUUGUUCCAUCCAGCUAGGAUGGCAGUGAAGCUAAACCUGGAGAGUAGAGUCUUGUUCCUACUGAGCUGAGAACAGUAGGACUUGUCAAGGUGAGUUGUCUGAUAACCUUGGACCUCUUUGAGGAGACGAUAAUUGUACUUUGGUCUGAACAGAGAGACUUGUGGUCAAGUCAUGUUUUCAGUUCCAAUGGUGGCUCAGUAGCUUGACUGUAUGGACAUCUGGAUUAGAGGCAGAGAUCAUUUUGACUCUCAGUAUUAUCCCCCUAUAUUGAAAAGUUGCUUUUAGGUGACCUCCCACUGAAAGAUAAAUAGGCCUUUUUGGAGCUCUCCUUUUGCCUUAUCUGUAGUUGAGAGAAGUCUGCUGGACAGUGGUAUUCCUGUAUUGCUAGUGAGUUUUUUUCUAAUUGGAUUUCAGGGCUUUGUACUGAAAGUGAAGUUCAGCUGUUGAAGGAUAGUGGGGGAGAUUCUGAAACUGAAUGGGUAAACAUAUGCUGGGACUCUUUUAUUAGAGAGAUUCCUUGCUUGGCCCUAAGGAAUAAGAGGAAUCCAAAAGAUGUAUUUCACUUAGCUGUCAUGAGUGCUAAAGGAGGUCCCAUAAAGGGGGGAAUAUUUUAUUCUAUCAAUUUGGCAGACUAAUGACUGUCUUGCUCAGAGGGAUUAUUUCAAUGAAGAAUGGAAGUCAGCUCUCAGGGGAGAUGGAAAUGAAUGACAUGAAGAGAUACUGAUUCAUAAUUAAUUCUGUUCAAGACAUGAUCAUGCACAAUAUUAUAUAAUGUUGCACAAAUGUAAUUUGAAAGCACUAUAUGGUGACUCACAAAUCCUAUAUUCCCACCAUUUUAAAGCAUUCCAUUAGGUGAUUCUUUUCCUUAUAGGUGCUGAAUUACUUAAAGUAGCAAAACCACUCCAUUUUGUGUCAGAGAUCCUCUUGGUUGUUAAGUAUAACUCUUGCAUGUCUCCAUCUACUUCAAAACUGUUUCUGUUUCAGCUUUACGAGGUGACAAGCCAAAGUGUCUAACAAAACAUCACUAGCUAUCAUUUACUAUUGGCCAUGGCAGAUGCUUGGAAAGGUCAGUUAGCACACUGGUUUUUCCUGUUUCAUUCAUUGAAGUUCCCUUCUUUUGUAAUGAAAAUAUUUGUAUGUGUGUAGAGUGAAUAAUAUGAAUCCUCACUGGAGUGUUGGUAGAUGCUGUAUGCUUUAUGCUCCUGCAUUUUUGUUUUCCUAUUCAUCUUAUCUGGUAAUAGGUGAUGUGUUUUAAUCCCCAGAGUUCAAGUGCACCUAUUAACAUCAGCACAAGCUAUAACAUACUAAAAGCCUUUUGAUGGCUGCUGUCACCAGUACUGCCACUAAGAAAAGCCCAAAGUCUGAGUUAGGACGUUUUUAAUUGCCUUUUCCAAUUGAGAACUGGAAAACUGCCUGUAAGAAAGGGGAGGUGACAAUGUUUCAUCCUCUCUAGCUAGAAUAGCUUUCUGCAGCCUCACAUCUGUGAUC